ACCCUCGCUAAGCGAAGGGUCUUUGCAUUGGCUUCGGACAAGAUGCGAAUUCAUGCGCCAUGGUAGCCGCAUUGGCGCUGCCAUGGGCGCUGUCAUGCUCAG
rnacentral:SRP_RNA from 1 species